rnacentral:rRNA from 1 species
GAGGGGCAGCGGGUAAGUAGCUUGCUACUUAUGCCGGCGACCGGCGGACGGGUGCGUAACGCGUAUGUAACCUACCUUUGACAGGGGGAUAACAUCGAGAAAUUGGUACUAAUACCCCAUAACAUCACCGGAGGCAUCUUCGGUGGUUGAAAACUCAGGUGGUCAGAGAUGGACAUGCGUUGUAUUAGCUAGUUGGUGAGGUAACGGCUCACCAAGGCGACGAUACAUAGGGGGACUGAGAGGUCAACCCCCCACAUUGGUACUGAGACACGGACCAAACUCCUACGGGAGGCAGCAGUGAGGAAUAUUGGUCAAUGGACGCAAGUCUGAACCAGCCAUGCCGCGUGCAGGAAGACGGCUCUAUGAGUUGUAAACUGCUUUUGUACGAGGGUAAAUCCCGAUACGAGUAUCGGGUUGAAAGUAUCGUACGAAUAAGGAUCGGCUAACUCCGUGCCAGCAGCCGCGGUAAUACGGAGGAUUCAAGCGUUAUCCGGAUUUAUUGGGUUUAAAGGGUGCGUAGGCCGGUUCGAUAAGUUAGAGGUGAAAUCCCGGGGCUCAACUCCGGCAUUGCCUCUGAUACUGUCGGGCUAGAGUUUAGUUGCGGUAGGCGGAAUGUAUGGUGUAGCGGUGAAAUG